rnacentral:rRNA from 1 species
CAGCGGUGACAGGUGGUGCAUGGUUGUCGUCAGCUCGUGUCGUGAGAUGUUGGGUUAAGUCCCGCAACGAGCGCAACCCUUGGAUUGUGUUGCCAUCAUUCAGUUGGGCACUUACAAUCGACUGCCGGUGACAAACCGGAGGAAGGCGGGGAUGACGUCAAAUCAUCACGCCCCUUAUGUCCUGGGCUACACACGUGCUACAAUGGGCGGUACAAAGGGUUGCGAAGCCGCGAGGCGGAGCCAAUCCCAGAAAGCCGUUCGUAGUUCGGAUUGCAGGCUGCAACUCGCCUGCAUGAAGCCGGAAUUGCUAGUAAUCGCGGAUCAGCAUGCCGCGGUGAAUUCGUUCCCGGGCCUUGUACACACCGCCCGUCACACCAUGGGAGUUGGCAACACCCGAAGUCGGUGAGGUAACCGUAAGGAGCCAGCCGCCUAAGGUGGGGUCGAUGACUGGGGUGAAGUCGUAACAAGGUA